GAUCCUACGGGGCGCAACAGUGAGGAAUAUUGGUCAAUGGGCUUACGCCUGAACCAGCCAAGUCGCGUGAGGGAGGAAGGUACAGAGUAUCGUAAACCUCUUUUGUCAGGGAACAAAGGCGGGGACGUGUCCCCGGAUGAGUGUACCUGAAGAAAAAGCAUCGGCUAACUCCGUGCCAGCAGCCGCGGUAAUACGGAGGAUGCGAGCGUUAUCCGGAUUUAUUGGGUUUAAAGGGUGCGCAGGCGGUCUGUUAAGUCAGCGGUCAAAGCCCGGGGCUCAACCCCGGCCCGCCGUUGAAACUGGCG
rnacentral:rRNA from 1 species